rnacentral:rRNA from 1 species
AUGGAGGGGACUCUGGUUCAGUCUGCCAUUGCUCCUACCGCAUACAGGAGUAGCUCUACGCGGUCCCGUGUGCGCACAAGGGCCACAAUGUUACGCAGUACGCCAACCAGGACCCUCACUCUCGGGGGUUUUCAAGGACUGCGGCAAACAAAUUUCCUGGAUACAAGGUCCGUUAUCAAACGUGACUUUGGCUCCAUUGUAGCAAGCCAGAUUUCACGACCACGUGGGUCAGGUUCAAGAAUGGUUGUCCGGGCCAUGUUCGAGCGCUUCACAGAGAAAGCAAUCAAGGUGAUUAUGCUUGCACAGGAGGAAGCAAGACGCCUAGGCCACAACUUUGUUGGGACAGAACAGAUUCUGCUUGGCCUUAUUGGUGAGGGAACUGGAAUUGCAGCAAAGGUUCUAAAGUCUAUGGGGAUCAGUCUUAAGGAUGCCCGUGUGGAAGUUGAAAAGAUUAUUGGAAGAGGCAGUGGGUUUGUUGCCGUUGAAAUUCCAUUUACACCUCGUGCAAAGCGUGUACUCGAACUGUCACUUGAAGAAGCUCGCCAGCUAGGGCAUAACUAUAUAGGAUCUGAGCACUUACUCUUAGGGCUACUUCGUGAGGGUGAAGGUGUGGCAGCUCGAGUUCUCGAAAGCCUUGGUGCUGAUCCAAACAACAUUCGUACCCAGGUUAUAAGAAUGGUUGGUGAAAGCACAGAAGCUGUUGGUGCUGGGGUUGGUGGGGGAAGCAGUGGCCAGAAGAUGCCUACACUUGAAGAAUACGGUACUAAUUUGACAAAGCUGGCAGAAGAGGGUAAACUAGACCCAGUUGUUGGCAGACAGGAUCAAAUUGAGCGUGUAACUCAAAUUUUGGGCAGGCGUACAAAGAACAACCCAUGCUUAAUUGGAGAGCCUGGUGUCGGCAAGACUGCUAUUGCAGAGGGGCUUGCACAACGUAUUUGUAAUGGGGAUGUUCCGGAAACAAUUGAAGGAAAGAAGGUUAUUACCCUUGACAUGGGGCUCCUUGUUGCUGGUACCAAGUACCGUGGAGAGUUUGAAGAAAGGCUGAAGAAGCUUAUGGAAGAAAUUAAGCAAAAUGAUGAUAUUAUACUCUUUAUUGAUGAAGUGCACACGUUGAUCGGAGCAGGUGCAGCUGAAGGUGCAAUUGAUGCUGCUAACAUCUUAAAACCAGCUCUUGCAAGAGGUGAACUGCAGUGCAUUGGUGCCACAACACUCGAUGAGUACAGGAAACAUAUCGAGAAAGAUCCUGCUUUGGAGCGAAGGUUUCAACCAGUCAAGGUACCAGAGCCCACUGUUGAAGAAUCAAUACAAAUCUUAAGAGGACUUCGUGAGAGAUAUGAACUUCAUCAUAAGCUGCGAUACACAGAUGAUGCUUUAGUUGCCGCGGCGCAGUUAUCAUAUCAGUAUAUCAGUGACCGCUUCCUGCCUGACAAGGCUAUUGACUUGAUUGAUGAAGCGGGGUCCCGUGUUAGGCUCAGGCAUGCACAGCUACCUGAUGAGGCCAAGGAGCUGGACAAAAAACUUCGCCAAAUAACAAAGGACAAGAAUGAGGCUGUGCGUGGCCAAGAUUUUGAGAAGGCUGGGGAAUUAAGAGACGAGGAAAUGGAGCUGAAGGCCCAAAUUACAGCCAUUAUUGACAAGAGCAAGGAAAUGGUUAAAGCAGAGACUGAAUCCGGCGAAGUUGGUCCUCUUGUCACCGAGGCAGAUAUUCAGCACAUCGUCUCAUCAUGGACUGGUAUACCUGUGGAGAAAGUCUCAUCUGAUGAGUCUGACCGCCUCCUUAAGAUGGAAGAGACACUCCAUACGCGCAUCAUUGGGCAGGAUGAAGCUGUCAAAGCUAUUAGCCGUGCUAUCCGCCGUGCUCGUGUUGGCCUCAAGAAUCCAAAUCGACCCAUUGCUAGCUUCAUAUUCUCUGGACCAACUGGUGUUGGUAAAUCAGAAUUAGCAAAGGCUCUGGCAUCCUACUACUUUGGCUCAGAGGAAGCCAUGAUCAGAUUAGAUAUGAGUGAGUUCAUGGAGAGACAUACAGUGUCCAAACUCAUCGGAUCACCUCCAGGUUAUGUUGGCUACACUGAAGGAGGUCAACUAACAGAAGCAGUCCGCCGCCGUCCAUACACAGUUGUUCUCUUUGAUGAGAUUGAAAAGGCACAUCCAGAUGUCUUCAACAUGAUGCUUCAGAUCUUAGAAGAUGGGAGGCUGACAGAUAGCAAGGGACGGACAGUUGAUUUCAAGAACACACUGUUGAUCAUGACAUCGAAUGUCGGAAGCAGUGUCAUCGAGAAGGGAGGCCGGAAGAUUGGGUUUGACCUUGACUCUGAUGAGAAAGAUACCAGUUAUAACAGGAUCAAGAGCUUGGUGACCGAGGAGUUGAAGCAGUAUUUCCGGCCUGAGUUCUUGAACAGAUUGGAUGAGAUGAUUGUGUUCCGGCAGCUGACAAAACUGGAGGUGAAAGAGAUUGCUGAUAUUAUGCUCAAGGAGGUGUUUGACAGGCUCAAGGCAAAGGAAAUCGACCUCCAGGUAACGGAGAAGUUCCGGGAUAGGGUUGUGGAUGAAGGUUACAACCCGAGCUACGGUGCCAGGCCUCUGCGACGCGCCAUUAUGAGGCUUUUGGAAGACAGUCUGGCGGAAAAGAUGCUGGCUGGCGAGGUCAAGGAAGGUGAUUCUGCUAUUGUUGAUGUGGAUUCGGAUGGUAAGGUGGUAGUUCUCAACAGCGGGGGUGGUAUUGCAGAGCCGCUGGAGCCUGCUCUGAGUGCCUAG